rnacentral:lncRNA from 1 species
UUCCAGAAUGAAAGCUUAUUAGUAUAUAGAGUUGUUGCAGAUGUUAUCAGUUAAGAUGAGGUGAUAUUGGGGCUGGGUGAAACUUCUGCCUCAGGUGACUGCCCCAUUGACUCUCUCACCAGCAGCUGCAAGAGAGUUCUAGUUGUUCCAUAUCCUUGCCGACACCUAUUAUUUUCUGUCUCCUUAUUUUAGUCAUGCUGGUAGGUGUGUAAGUGGAUUACACUGUAGUUUCAAUUUGCAUUUUCCUGAUGAUUAAUGGUGUCAAACACUUUUUUGUAUAUUUCUUGGCCAUUUGAAUUGCUUCUUUUGUGAAGCAUCUGUGCAAGUAUUUUUCCCCUUUUCUGUGGGAUAUCAAUCUUAUUUUUGUUGGUUUACAUGAGUUCUUCAUAUGUUUUGGUUAAGAGUCCUUUUCAGAUAUAUGAAUUGCAGUUCUCAUAACAGUGUCUUUUGAUGAUAUGAAGUUUUUUGUUGUUGUUGUUUUGUCUCAUUUGUUGAGACAGGGUCUCGCUCUGUCACCCAGGCUGGAGUAAAAUGCUGCGAACUUGGCUCACUGCAACCUUGACCUGCCAGGCUUCAGCAAUCCUCAUGCCUCAGGCUCCUGAAUAUCUGGAACUACAGGUGUUCACCACCACAGCUGGAUAAUUGUUGUAAUUUUUGUGGAGACAGGGUUUUGGCAUGUUGCCCUGGCUGGUCUCAAACUCUUGGGCUCAAGUGAUCUGUCCACCUCAGCCUCCCACAAAUGCAGGGUUAAUGAUUUGUGUUUUGUUUAAGAAAUCUUUGCUUAAGCUGAGGUCAUGAAGAUGUUUUUUGUGUUUUCCUCUAAAAGCAUUAUUGUGUUCCCUUUUGCAUUUAGAUCUCCAGGCCAUCUGAAAUUUAUUUUCAAGUGAUCUGUCCACCUCGGCCUCCCACAAAUGCAGGGUUAAUGAUUUGUGUUUUGUUUAAGAAAUCUUUGCUUAAGCUGAGGUCAUGAAGAUGUUUUUUGUGUUUUCCUCUAAAAGCAUUAUU